rnacentral:rRNA from 1 species
GUGCCAGCAGCCGCGGUAAUACGAAGGGGGCUAGCGUUGUUCGGAAUUACUGGGCGUAAAGCGCGCGCAGGCGGCUUCGUCAGUCAGGGGUGAAAUCCCGGGGCUCAACCUCGGCAUUGCCUUUGAUACUGCGGAGCUGGAGUCCGAGAGAGGGUGGUGGAAUAUCCAGUGUAGAGGUGAAAUUCGUAGAUAUUGGAUGGAACACCAGUGGCGAAGGCGGCCACCUGGCUCGGUACUGACGCUGAGGCGCGAAAGCGUGGGGAGCAAACAGGAUUAGAUACCCUGGUAGUCCACGCCGUAAACGAUGAGUGCCAGCUGUCGGGGUGCAUGCACCUCGGUGGCGCAGCUAACGCAUUAAGCACUCCGCCUGGGGAGUACGGUCGCAAGAUUAAAACUUAAAUGAAUUGACGGGG